rnacentral:tRNA from 1 species
GGGAAGCAAUGGGUGAGUGCAUCUGGCUGUUAGCCAGAAGGCUGGUGGUUCGAACCCACCCAGGGACA